CCUGCUCCUAGAGGCAUUGUAGGUGUGGCUGCUGUGUCACAUGCACGUCGGUAGGUGGCAGAGAGGAGAGAGGCUACAUCUACACUCAGUGUUCUGGCCUGUGAAUGUCUGCAUGAUUAGUAGCCUAAUAUU
rnacentral:snoRNA from 7 species